rnacentral:lncRNA from 1 species
UGCCGUGCGUGAGACUCUCCCGUUUCUUUUUCCCAGGGAUAUUUGUAAAUCGAUGGCUCCUACUACUGGGGCCUUUGUGUUUGUGAACCCGUAAAUGGCUUCCUUGGCCGGUGUUAGUUGUUCCACCUUGUAGCCCAUUUUUUCGAAUGCAGCUAGAUACAAUAUGUCUACCGAGCUGCCAUUGUCCACCAUUACUUUACUCAGACUUAAGUCAUCCCCGAUGUCCACCUGUAUUACCA